rnacentral:rRNA from 1 species
UACGUAGGGUGCGAGCGUUGUCCGGAAUUAUUGGGCGUAAAGGGCUCGUAGGCGGUCUGUCGCGUCGGGAGUGAAAACUCAGGGCUUAACCCUGAGCCUGCUUCCGAUACGGGCAGACUAGAGGUAUGCAGGGGAGAACGGAAUUCCUGGUGUAGCGGUGGAAUGCGCAGAUAUCAGGAGGAACACCGGUGGCGAAGGCGGUUCUCUGGGCAUUACCUGACGCUGAGGAGCGAAAGUAUGGGGAGCGAACAGG